CUCCUUUCCUCACUUCUCACAACCAAGAGUCUACAUAUAAAACUUUGCCCACUCAUCCUUUCCAUGAGACGUAUAUGAUUUAAGCUUCAAGGGACUGUGUGAUAAUGCUCCCCUCAUCCUAUUUCAAUAACCUUCUUAAUAAGUUUCCAUGUUUAUGUCCAGAUUGGAUGUUGUUCUACAGCAGUGAUGAUUCUGUAAUUUGAACAGAAUUCUGACUGCCCCUCAACUGUUGUUUUUUUCUACAACGUGCCAUGACUUGGACAGAAUGCUGACUUCUCCUGCUCUCCUCACCCAAGGGGUAAUACCAUCUUAUUGAACCUUUGCAGCCUGUCCUGGAAAGCAAAAUCCACAAUGACUCCUGCAAACUGUCUUAACAAUGCCGAAGCCAAGAUCUGACACAAACUCAUCAACAGCUCAUGUGCUCUGCUCCGCUUGACUCUCGAUCCCUGGUAAAGACAUAGCUCUACAACCAAAACUUGUGGAAUUAAAAUGAAAUUGUUGCUCACUAAACCGGAAGUUCUACAUUCCACCCAUGCUGGCUGGCCGACCACCUCACAAGAUCCUCCUGUCCCAGACUCUGAAUGCUGGUGUUAUAGGCACGCACAGCUUUUUAUGUGUGUUCCUGGGAUUCCAACUGAAGUCCUCAUGCUUGCAGAGCAAGCCAUCUUACUCACAGAACCAUCUCCCCAGCUCUUCUCCUACACAGUUCUUACACAGCCACAGUCUUAGGGUCAACUGUACAUAUAAAUUAUGGUCUACCCUGAAGACCACAUACUUUCAGAAGUCUCCACUACAAUCAUCAGUAAUUCAGAUUUUUGAAAUAUAUAUUUCACCUUGUUUUAUAUCAAAUGAAGCCUGAAAUCUAUGGACUAUUUCAGUGUAUAACAAGCACUCAGGUUCCCUAAUGUGCUACCUCUGGCUUCCGCUGUCUUAUCUUCCACGUGAAUAACAGUGUCAGUGUCUACUAUAAUCUGUUUGGGGAAGCCUAAUUCAUUCCAUAUACAGUUUUAAUGAUGCUUCAUUGUCUCGAUAUUGAAAAUACGGAGUUUAAAAGAAAUAGGAGUGUGCUCAAUAGAAACUGGAUGUUUCAGCCCCAUUGUAAUAUUGCAUGCUUGUUCAGAUAAGGAGGGACAAUGAGGGUCCCAUUUCAGGUGUCGGGUAUGAAGAUGCCCAGGUCCUGAUAUUGCUUGUCCUUUGAGUGCUACUGGGUACCUUCACAUCUCCCAAUCCCAGGAAACGUGUCUCAACUGGAUACUCAUCUCCUCCAUGAUGUCCCCAUGCAAACCCUGUCCCAAUUUUAAAUACUCCCUCUCCCUAAUGCAUAUGGUGCAUACCACACAGCAAGGUUUAACUUUCUUGGGGUCCUUGGAAUUUGAAUUUGUAUGCAUAACACCUGCAUCAGAAGUUUUCAUGUGGAUAUUCCCAGGCAGCUCACUUCACAGGAAUUAGUGACUUGGUGUACCCAUUCAUCUUCUCCAGUUACUCAAAAAUACUCAGAAAUGUAGAAUAUAUAGUAACAUAUUAUAUCAUAUGAAUAUGUAAUUAUGAAUAAAUUUAUGAUUAUACAACUUA